UUACCAUGCAGUCGAGCGGGGAGAGUAGCUUGCUACUUAACCUAGCGGCGGACGGGUGAGUAAUGCUUAGGAAUCUGCCUAUUAGUGGGGGACAACAUCUCGAAAGGGAUGCUAAUACCGCAUACGUCCUACGGGAGAAAGCAGGGGACCUUCGGGCCUUGCGCUAAUAGAUGAGCCUAAGUCGGAUUAGCUAGUUGGUGGGGUAAAGGCCUACCAAGGUGACGAUCUGUAGCGGGUCUGAGAGGAUGAUCCGCCACACUGGGACUGAGACACGGCCCAGACUCCUACGGGAGGCAGCAGUGGGGAAUAUUGGACAAUGGGGGGAACCCUGAUCCAGCCAUGCCGCGUGUGUGAAGAAGGCCUUUUGGUUGUAAAGCACUUUAAGCGAGGAGGAGGCUGCCGAGAUUAAUACUCUUGGAUAGUGGACGUUACUCGCAGAAUAAGCACCGGCUAACUCUGUGCCAGCAGCCGCGGUAAUACAGAGGGUGCAAGCGUUAAUCGGAUUUACUGGGCGUAAAGCGCGCGUANGUGGCCAAUUAAGUCAAUGUGAAAUCCCCGAGCUUAACUUGGGAAUUGCAUUCGAUACUGGUUGGCUAGAGUAUGGGAGAGGAUGGUAGAAUUCCAGUGUAGCGGUGAAUGCGUAAAGAUCUGGAGGAAUACCGAUGGCGAAGCAGCCAUCUGGCCUAUACUGACCUGAGGUGCGAAGCAUGGGGACAACAGGAUAGAUACCUGGUAGUCCUGCGUAACAA
rnacentral:rRNA from 1 species